UUUCAAAUUUUGAACUUAUAGUACUGAGUCCACAGGAAAGCACAUGUUGCCAUCAGCCAGUUCAGAGGCCUUAACAGCAAUGUCAAAGAAACUGGCAAAAGACAUGCGGGGCACCCAGAAACCAGAUCCAUUCAAGUGUUGUUGCUCCUAAUCCAACAUGGAGCCAAUGGCCUCAAUCUUCUGGAAGCCCAGCAUGUUAUACUUGUUGAACCACUGCUGAAUCCUGCAGCAGAAGCACAAGCCAUUGGCAGGGUGCAUCGAAUUGGGCAGGCACAUAAGACUCUUGUUCAUCGUUUUAUAGUGAAAGACACAGUUGAGGAGAGCUUAUAUAAGUUGAAUAAGAGCAGGAAUCUCGGUUCACUUGUUAGUGGCAACAGAAAGAAUCAAGAUCAGCCCGUUUUGACACUAAGAGAUGUUGAAUCCUUAUUCAGGGUGGCACCUUCCACUGAUGAUAAGGCAACUGGGAGCUUGACGCAUUUGCCACCUUCUGUUGCUGCUGCUAUAGCUGCUGAGAGGAGGCUUAAUGAACGGACAUCUUGUCAAGAGCCACCAGAGAACUGCUGAAUUUACAAAAAUUGUGCUGUUAAGGAACAACUAGGAGUCCACGACAUGAUCCUCUUUCAGUCUUAUUUCGAUGUGUAUCCCCAUGCAGGACCGGAAUAAAGGAUUCAUUGAUUAUCAUGACAUCCAUUAGCAGCCAAAGCAGUGGAAUGUGCUGGAGAGAGUGACUGUUGCUGCUGGCAAAUUUCCAGUAGUCAGCUCAUUUGUCAUAAUUAUUUUGUAUAUAGUGAUUCCCUUGAUUCUCUUGUACAGUCUGUAUAAUAAUCGCUUAGCACACCAGGUAUAACAGUUAGAUUUUGUUGUA